CAGUCGCCGCGGGAAUACGUAGGGCGCAAGCGUUGUCCGGAAUUAUUGGGCGUAAAGAGCUCGUAGGCGGUCUGUCGCGUCUGGUGUGAAAUCCCGAGGCUCAACCUCGGGCUUGCAUCGGGUACGGGCAGACUAGAGUGCGGUAGGGGAGACUGGAAUUCCUGGUGUAGCGGUGGAAUGCGCAGAUAUCAGGAGGAACACCGAUGGCGAAGGCAGGUCUCUGGGCCGCAACUGACGCUGAGGAGCGAAAGCAUGGGGAGCGAACAGGAUUAGAUACCCGUGUAGUCCCUGUCUCUUAUAA
rnacentral:rRNA from 1 species